AACGAACGCUGGCGGCGUGGCUAAGACAUGCAAGUCGAACGGACUGCUCAAUUUAUUGGACAGUUAGUGGCGAAAGGGUUAGGAACGGAUGGGUAACGUACCCUGUGCUUUGGGAUAGCGUCAUCCCGACUUCGGUCGGGAUCUCCGAAAGGGGCGGUAAUACCAAAAAUAUCAUCUGUCUAUAGGCGGAUGAUCAAAGAUUUAUCGGCAUAGGCGCGGCCUGUCUCCUAUCAGCUUGUUGGUGAGGUAACGGCUCACCAAGGCAGCGACGGGUAGCGGGACUGAGAGGUUGGCCCGCAACAUCGGGACUGAGACACGGCCCAGACUCCUACGGGAGGCAGCAGCAAGGAAUUUUGUGCAAUGGGCGAAAGCCUGACACAGCGACGCCGCGUGGGGGAUGAAGGCCUUCGGGUUGUAAACCUCUUUUCUCAGGGAAGAAUAAUGACGGUACCUGAGGAAUAAGUCUCGGCUAACUACGUGCCAGCAGCCGCGGUAAUACGUAGGAGGCGAGCGUUAUCCGGAUUUACUGGGCGUAAAGUGGGCGUAGGCGGUUUUUCAAGUCGAUUGUAAAAUCUCCCGGCUUAACUGGGAGGGGCCAGUCGAUACUGUUGGACUAGAGGGCAGCAGGAGGAGGUGGAAUUCCCGGUGGAGUGGUGAAAUGUGUAGAUAUCGGGAGGAACACCAGUGGCGAAAGCGGCCUCUUAGGCUGUUUCUAACGCUGAGGCCCGAAAGCGUGGGUAGCAAACAGGAUCAGAUACCCUGGUAGUCCACGCCGUAAACGAUGGACACUAGGUAUAGGGAGUGUCGACCCUCUCUGUGCCGAAGCUAACGCAUUAAGUGUCCCGCCUGGGGAGACGGCCGCAAGGCU
rnacentral:rRNA from 1 species